rnacentral:tmRNA from 1 species
GGGGCUGAUUCUGGAUUCGACGGGAUUUGCGAAACCCAAGGUGCAUGCCGAGGGGCGGUUUGCCUCGUAAAAAGCCGCAAAAAAAUAGUCGCAAACGACGAAAACUACGCUUUAGCAGCUUAAUAACCUGCUAAGAGCCCUCUCUCCCUAGCUUCCGCUCUUAAGACG